GUGCCAGGAGCCGCGGUAAUACGGAGGGGGUUAGCGUUGUUCGGAAUUACUGGGCGUAAAGCGCGCGUAGGCGGCCUAUUAAGUCCGGGGUGAAAUCCCGGGGCUCAACCCCGGAACUGCCUUUGAUACUGGUAGUCUAGAGUUCGAGAGAGGUGAGUGGAACUCCGGGUGUAGAGGUGAAAUUCGUAGAUAUUCGGAAGAACACCAGUGGCGAAGGCGGCUCACUGGCUCGAUACUGACGCUGAGGUGCGAAAGUGUGGGGAGCAAACAGGAUUAGAUACCCGGGUAGUCC
rnacentral:rRNA from 1 species